rnacentral:rRNA from 1 species
GAUGAACGCUGGCGGCGUGCCUCAAACAUGCAAGUCGAGCGGGGCUAUGUAAUAUCGCAAGGUAGAACAUAGCCUAGCGGCGAACGGGUGAGUAACACGUGGGUAACCUGCCUGGAAGACAGGGAUAACGAUUCGAAAGGGUCGCUAAUACCUGAUAAUAUCCUUUCAUCGCAUGGUGAUAGGAAGAAAGGGGAAACCCGCUUUCAGAUGGGCCCGCGUCCCAUCAGCUAGUUGGUAAGGUAAAGGCUUACCAAGGCGACGACGGGUAGCCGGUCUGAGAGGAUGUACGGCCACACUGGGACUGAGAUACGGCCCAGACUCCUACGGGAGGCAGCAGUUGGGAAUCUUAGGCAAUGGACGAAAGUCUGACCUAGCGACGCCGCGUGAGGGAAGAAGGCCUUCGGGUUGUAAACCUCUGUCAUGGGGAAGAAGUAAGUGACGGUACCCCAAGAGAAGCCCCUGCUAACUACGUGCCCAGCAGCCCGCGGUAAAAGUACUCUAU